rnacentral:ncRNA from 1 species
UUGGCAAACUUAUUGAAAAAUGAGGACGCAAAGCUUGAGGGUCUAACCCGGAAACGGUAUGACAGCCAGUUGCAG